AACCUUCCUCAGCUGACCCUCUCACUCUCACGCUCUCAUACUGAUUCGCUCACUCGCUCCAAGUCCUGCUCCCGCCCCGCCACCUCCGACCUUGCUCCCUCCCCCGCCGCCGCUCCUGCGUCGUCCGCCCCCGCAGCACCCUCUCCGAUCUCUUCACCCGCGAUGACACCAGGAAAACAAAACAUUCUCACUCUACGUGUACAAAGCCUUCACAGCACGUGAGGAAGGAGGUCUUGGAAAGAAGGGAGGGAGUGGGAGAGGAGGGUGAGAUCGUGGUCAGUGAGGGACAUUCGUUUGAGGUGGAGUUUGUUGAGGGAGGAGUGGUAAUAUUGGGAGAGUGCGGUGACCCAGGGGGUGAAGUAGGCCCCCAUUUCAGGGGCAUGAGGUCGAAGUCAACGAAGCAUGGCUCGCCCUUGAUGGUCAUGGACCGGACGCGGGGGAAUCGGCUGGUGGUGCUACGGGGGGAUACGGCGUAGCAGUUUCCGAUGAAGAGCUUUGUGCGGGUGAGGGCCUCGGCGCGGUAGCAGGACAUGCAGACCAGUGAGGCGGCAUUGCAGUCAUGCCGGGAGGUAAGGAAGUGGAGCACGCUUUCCAGGACGUUCUCCAGGACCUGGUCCGGCAGAGGGGAGAGGUAAUAAGUUUGAAGAGCUGACUGCAACCUAUGAAAGUGGAGAGUUACAUCCUGGUUACCUUAAACUAGCAUUGGCAAAGUCGUUGAAUAAAAUUCUGGAGUUAUGCUUUUUCUUUGCAUAUAGAAUUUUUCCCAACUAUGCAAAUGAAGCCAAACCCUCAAUGUUCAAAUGUAGCUUGUUUGGAAAGACAAGAAGAGUACAUGCUUGCAAAACCAGCAAGAGAUGCUGCAGCCAAAGCAAAAAUGGAAGUUGAAGCACCAUCAACUGAGGAAGUGCCACUUCAUGAAGAAAUUGAAUGGAAUAUAAGGACCAAAUAGCACGGUUAUCAGCUUGGAGUAUCCUUGUGCACUGUGACUCCUAUCAGCUUGCUCUUGGGACUAUAUGCUCCGCUCUGCUCAUAAGGUGGGUAGCAGGAGACUUUGCUAGGAAUGGGCCAUGAGAUACAUUCCCAAUCCACUCACUUGAAGUUAUCGAUAGCUAACAAUAGCAGGCUCAAUUAACCCUGGAGAAGCUGCUUCUCCUGCCAGUCCUGGAGAAACUGUUGAAGUUUUGGGUAAAUUUCCUAUCUUUUGUCAUCAAUCUUGUUUGCCUCAUCUGCACGUCUUUUUUUAUCUUAUUGCUCGUGUGAUAAAUUCAACAAAGCUUCUUUCUUUCUGCACUGAGUUUAUUUCUUUAAUUCUAAUUUUGAGUUAAUGGCAGUAAUUAGUAAAGAAACAUGUUUCUUUUUUAAAUAUUAAUUACUAUAACUAUUUUAAUGGAGUAAUUUUCUUGUUUUACACAAAAGCAUUUAUCUUUAUCAGCUCAAUAAAAUUAAAUAACUUUAAAUUUUAUUUAGAACCACUGUAUUUUUAGAACCGUAAAGUUAAACACAUUUUAAAACUAUUUUGUAAUGUAAAGUUAAAGUUAUAAUUAGAAUUGGGCCACGUAUCCAUGAAUAUAACAACCACUAUUCACCCUGAACAUUAAGUCCAUGUUCCAUAUAGUUGCUCCAAAGUCCAAUAGUUGAUGGCACAAAAUGUUUUUGUGGUGCAUGUAAGUUAUCGUUUUUAAAUUUUUGGUUUCUCCAAAUUUAUUUUUCUAAUCUUAAUCUUUAUAUGUUGGCAUUUUUCUAAUUUAGUUGUUUUAAAAUUUCGAUUUUUUAUUUACAGUUCCAAAAGUUUUUAAAUUUUCAAUGUAAGUUAUCGUUUUUAAAUUUCAAUGUAAGUUUAUUUUGAUGGAAAAUAGAGUUUUCUUAAAAUUAACUCUUGUAAACGCACAUGGGAAGAUUUAAGUUGAGUUAUCGACAUAUCGUAAAGUGUGCAGCGAAAUUAAUCAAAUUAGGUGCUUGUCCUUUGUGAUAUCUGUCUAUCCUUUGUGAUACCUGCAGCGAAAUUUUUCUUAUUAAUCAAAAUUUUAAAAUAGAAAUAUCAUACGCUAUACGCGGAUUACUAUCAAGUUUACUACCUAAGUUGAAAUAAUAGUGACUUGAUACAAAUUUCUUGGUUUAAAAAUAUAUAACAUAAAAACUUAAAUCAAAAAACAUUUUAUUAUAUAUAAUAUCAUUUUAAAUAUAAUAUCAUA